UACACACCGCCCGUCACACCACGAAAGUUGAUUGUACCAGAAGUCGUCGAGCCAACCCGCAAGGGAGGAAAGCGCCUAAGGUAUGGUCAAUGAUUGGGGUG
rnacentral:rRNA from 1 species